rnacentral:rRNA from 1 species
UACGUAGGGCGCAAGCGUUGUCCGGAAUUAUUGGGCGUAAAGAGCUCGUAGGCGGCCAGUUGCGUCUGCUGUGAAAUCCCGAGGCUCAACCUCGGGUCUGCAGUCGAUACGGGCAAACUAGAGUAUUGCAGGGGAGACUGGAAUUCCUGGUGUAGCGGUGAAAUGCGCAGAUAUCAGGAGGAACACCGGUGGCGAAGGCGGGUCUCUGGGCAAUAACUGACGCUGAGGAGCGAAAGCGUGGGGAGCGAACAGG